rnacentral:rRNA from 1 species
UACAGAGGGUGCGAGCGUUGUCCGGAAUCACUGGGCGUAAAGGGUGCGUAGGUGGCUUGGUAAGCGUGUGGUGAAAGUCCGGGGCUCAACCCCGGAUCUGCCGUGCGAACUGCUGAGCUCGAGCAAUGUAGAGGCAGGUGGAAUUUCGGGAGUAGCGGUGGAAUGCGUAGAGAUCCGAAAGAACACCAGUGGCGAAGGCGGCCUGCUGGGCAUUAGCUGACACUGAGGCACGACAGCGUGGGGAGCAAACAGG